rnacentral:lncRNA from 1 species
GACAGGGUGGGGUCCCCAGAUGAGGACAAGAUCUGCUUACUAGAUAUGAAGAAGUGGCUACAGUUGGGGGGGCGAAGGGGAGAGGGGCCUCAGUAAGGAGCCACAGUAGGUAUGGAGAGGUGGGGGGUGGUAACGCAGCUAUCCCCAAACCUGAGCCCCCCGUCUCCUCUGGGGCAUGGAUGCUCAUGGGGAAACCGAGGCAGGGAGAGACGCCACGGGCUCCACCUGAGAUGGCAAGGACUUGAACUACUCUCUACCGGCUGUAGAGGAUUGGGGUACCCCUGUGACCCCACCUCCUCUCAUCGCUGCUCACCCGACUGACUCAGGACCCCUCCUUGAUAAUCCUCCAACACUCCCCAAAUCCCUACUCCAGGGCCUUUGCACAAGCUCUUCCAGCUCCACAGCCCCUUCCCUCUGGUAUCUUCCAGGUACCCUCUCUGCUGACAUCAAAGACUCUCUGAAUCCCCUCCCUCUCGGGAUUGGGCAACCAGGUGGUGAUGUGCCCGUGUCUGACCCCUCCAACAUGACCCAGAGCUGGAGGAACAGGGCAAGGACUUGGGGAGACCGAUAGCUCCCUGGGCAGGGUUGACCCUCCAUUGGGGCCACAAGACCCCAUCAGACACCAGCAAUCAGGGAUCAAAUCAGGCCAGGCGGCCAAGCCCCAGGGCUGGAGUCACCUCCAUGGCCUCCUCCUCCAGGGCACCUGCCCGAUGCCUCCAGGCCACACUGGGGCCUCCACCUCCCACUGAUCAUCUGGAGUCACCGAGUCCCCCCAGCCCUGGCAUGCUGCCCUGGCUAAGUCCCUUUACCUUGGCCAUAGAGAAAUAUUUAUAUGGUCACCUCUUUUUGCUAAGGGGUGGUGUCAUGUCCUCGGCCAAGGGCUGUGGUCCCUUCGCAAAACAUGGAUCUGGUUAAAAAACGAUCA